rnacentral:rRNA from 1 species
UGGACUCGCGGCUUAUCAGCUUGUUGGUGGGGUAGUGGCUUACCAAGGCUUUGACGGGUAGCCGGCCUGAGAGGGUGACCGGCCACAUUGGGACUGAGAUACGGCCCAGACUCCUACGGGAGGCAGCAGUGGGGAAUAUUGCACAAUGGGCGGAAGCCUGAUGCAGCAACGCCGCGUGCGGGAUGACGGCCUUCGGGUUGUAAACCGCUUUCGCCUGUGACGAAGCGUGAGUGACGGUAAUGGGUAAAGAAGCACCGGCUAACUACGUGCCAGCAGCCGCGGUGAUACGUAGGGUGCGAGCGUUGUCCGGAUUUAUUGGGCGUAAAGGGCUCGUAGGUGGUUGAUCGCGUCGGAAGUGUAAUCUUGGGGCUUAACCCUGAGCGUGCUUUCGAUACGGGUUGACUUGAGGAAGGUAGGGGAGAAUGGAAUUCCUGGUGGAGCGGUGGAAUGCGCAGAUAUCAGGAGGAACACCAGUGGCGAAGGCGGUUCUCUGGGCCUUUCCUGACGCUGAGGAGCGAAAGCGUGGGGAGCGAACAGGCUUAGAUACCCUGGUAGUCCACGCUGUAAACGGUGGGUACUAGGUGUGGGGUCCAUUCCACGGGUUCCGCGCCGUAGCUAACGCUUUAAGUACCCCGCCUGGGGAGUACGGCCGCAAGGCUAAAACUCAAAGGAAUUGACGGGGCCCCGCACAAGCGGCGGAGCAUGCGGAUUAAUUCGAUGCAACGCGUAGAACCUUACCUGGGUUUGACAUGGAUCGGGAGUGCUCAGAGAUGGGUGUGCCUCUUUUGGGGUCGGUUCACAGGUGGUGCAUGGCUGUCGUCAGCUCGUGUCGUGAGAUGUUGGGUUAAGUCCCGCAACGAGCGCAACCCUUGUUCACUGUUGCCAGCACGUUAUGGUGGGGACUCAGUGGAGACCGCCGGGGUCAACUCGGAGGAAGGUGGGGAUGACGUCAAGUCAUCAUGCCC